ACUUCCUGGGUCUCCUCCUGAUAGCACAUUCUGAUUGGGUUGCUGCUAAUGCGCUUUUGUCUUGGAAUGCGCCUCAAUUGACUUAGCUUGUAGAUUGUACAUCGCAAGGAGUCAAGGACAAACUAUGUGGAACUAUGAAACCAACAUUUUGUCUUUUUGCGUGUACAUUGUACUUGUACCAUUCUUCUCGUCUUGUCUUGGAAUUUUCCUUAUUGUGCUAAAUCAAUAAUCUUAUCAAGAAAUAUUGACCUCUUGUGAUAGACUUUGAUAUUCUUGUGUCCUGUGUUUGUUCUCUGGGAUCGUGCCUUAUAAUUAUGCUGAAAGCCUGAAAUCAGUCACUAAGACACUGUAGUAGCAUACGGGCUAGUGGAUAUGCAUCAUCUUCGGUUCGUCCCUGUUAUUGUACUCCCUCCUUCCUCGAUUGUAAGGCGUAUCAAGGAGUAUCACAGAUACCAAGGUGUGGAGUUAACGCUGCGGAGGUUAAUGCAGUGGAGGAUAAAUGCUGCGGAGAUUUUCUUGUGGUCAGCGUUAAUGCUGAGGUUUGCAUGGUGCAUGGCCGCAUGCAACGCUUCAAUCAGAGACUGCAUGGCCCCAUGCGCCUGUUUUCAACUGCACUUGAAAUUCUUUUCUCUCGCUUCGAGGUGGCGCGCCCUACAUACGUAGAAAAGUAGAAAAUCAUCGCACGCCUUAGAAAUGGGGAAGGAGGGAGUAGUUCAGGAGGUUCUUUUUUUUGUUUUUUUUUUAAGUUCAGGAGUGCAUUAGUGUUUAUCGAACUGCUGCUGAAUGUACUUUAUAUGCAAGGGUUUGGUUCCCUUUGGACGACUUUCGCACUGAUAAUGCAUGCUAAUUCUUUGAUUGCGUUUAGCAACUGAUUGACAUUGGUUGUUAUGUGAUUCUUUUUUCUUUUUUGUUUUUGAGAAAGCAGCUAUGCUAUCUUUCAAGCUCUGAAGGUUUCUUUCCAUUUUAUUUUCCCUUUUUGAAUGAUAUUUUUUUCUUUUUAUCUUAUAUGUGAAUGUUAGUUCACUUAAAUGGCAAGAUAGCGAUUACUGGUAACUUUGAGAGUCUUCCACGUUCCUAUCGUGAAGCUGUAUUUGCUUUCACGGCAAGGUCAGAACUUUUUGUUGAGAGCCUUUCAGCAAGCUGUGGUGAAACAUAUGCUGUUAUCUGUUAUAUUGUUCUUAAUAGUGAUAAAUCUAUGCCUUAAUUGUUACUUGUUAGACAAGUAGCAAUUAAACCUGCAUCUCACAUUACUGUUCAACUUCGAGCUCAAAACAAUAUACUAUGUACUUAUUUCAAUGCAUAGCAGUUGCACAUGGAGUACCAGUAGGGAGUAGGGAAAACAUAUAGAUAGAAAUAUGUUAUAGGAGGGACCAAGAGGGAAUCCCUUGUUUUUUUAUAAUGCUCUAAAGCAAUGAGUACUUCUAAAAUAUCAGAGCAGUAAUUUGUUCCUUUACAGUGUAUUCCCUUAUUUCGGAAGCCUACAGCCAUUUGGGUUAGCUGUGCUGGGGAACUGGUGACAUUCCCCAACUUAGCAUGCAAGCCACUGCAAUCAAAAUAUUUUCAUUUUUGGAACAGUGAACCUAAAAAUCCAUAAGAUUUCUAUCCUCUAAGAGUAUCUUUCUGUCACAGAUUACAUUGAACAACUGGCCUGGUUCAUGACAAUCUAUUGCAACUAAUAAACUAAAAAUUGACCACUUCUCCUGUAACCUUUUAUGGAAACUUUUGCCUCUAAAUUUGAUUCGAACUGUACCACAAUUUUGUAGAACAGAUGAUACCUUAUACCUUGAAAUGGCAUUCCUCAAAUGCAGACAUACUGAAGUGUAUAUCGGAUUCUAUGAUGUGUUGCUGUUUUGCUUCAAAGUUGUUCGAAACAUCGGAUACUGGAACUUGAUUUCCCAGAGGAGCAGAUUCAACUAUCAGAUUCUCUGACUGAGAUGAGCCAAGGUCAUUGGGAGGGCUGCCCAAAGUCAGAAAUUUAUACUCCAGAAAUGAUCAAUCUGAUGGAGAGCUCCCAACCUGAUUUCUCAGCACCAUCUGGUGAGUCCCUCAGGCAGGUACAGUUUCGGAUGAUGGAAUUCCUCAACCGGACCAUCCUAAGGCUACCAGAAAAGAUAGCAAUGGGGGACACACUAUCGCAACAAAAUGAGCCCAAAGGGUUCUCUCGGCAGAGCUCCAGCAAUUCUGUCCAAGAUGGUCCUCCUUGGGAUCUGCUGUACAGGCUUAACCGACAUAGCCUCCAAAAAAAGAAAUCUGGGAAGAGCCGACUCCAGUUUGUCACUUCAGGGGACAAUGAUCC